CCAGCAUUCUGGCCAUCACAUGUUGUGACUUGUGUAACAGCACAGAUGGACAUGAAGAUGGUGCUACAGGCUGAAUGUCCUGAGGAAUUAAUGCUUCUGGGAGCAGCCUUUGACCAGUCCCUGAGAGAAUUAGCAGAUAGGCACAUGAGCUCGUUCGCCCCUUGGUUGAGAUAAAUCUGAGGCACAUGCUUGAUGCUGGCUCCUAGAGGUCCCCAGCAGGUUUAAGCUCUGCAUGCCCAUGGUGGAAACUGGCCUCAUGGCAUAACCUUCCCAGACUGCCUUCCUCUCUCACUUCCCCAACCCCUGACUGCUGUUUCCUGGAAUCACUCCCAAAAUAAACAGCUUGUGCUUGAAU
rnacentral:lncRNA from 1 species